AAUUGCACUACUAAGCUUUUAUGAGGACAUGCCUAUUAUCAGACCAAGCUCUCCCUCCGCCCCUCCCCAGGCAGAAGGAUGGGGUGUGGUGGGUAAGCGAAGUGUGAAGGCCUCCUGCUCAUUGAGCUCAUUGUGGACUCCUCCCCUGAGAGGAGAGGUCUCUCUGGAGGCCUCUAAACUCAGCCAUAGCCUGCAGAUGGCCUCCACCUAUGCCAAACACAACAUCAGCCUCUCUGCCGUGCUCAACACCAUAGACAAGAAUUUGAAAAAGCGGCAAGCAAAACUGAAGAUGACCGUGUCAAGGCCCAAGGGUCCGUCCACAGAGCUGGAGUUUGAGGGAGUCUUGGAGGAGCUGAGGAAGGACAAGAGGAUGUAUCAGAAAACAGCAGUCCUCCAGCUCAGGCAGCCCUUCCAGACAUUUCCUCAGACUCUCCUCCUCAGAGAGACUUUCACUGUUGACCUCCUCAAAGGCCUUUACAUCCUGGAAUCUAAGGCCAGUUUCCAUGACGACAGAGAGGUCAUCCACACCCUUACUAUUGGCUACCAACCACCAAGCCCUUUCGUUUGUUCUGCACUGGUCCAUCCUUUCAGUUAUGACACUAUUCCAUCCAACUCAGAAUUCUGUGUGACCGUAACCAGCAACCAGGUAAACUGCUCGCCUUCAUAACGCACAACACUGACCCAAAAGAGACGAGGAUUCGACGUGACAGCAACAGCAACAUCAUUUCUUAUUUUAAGAUAAAGUGUGGUACUUUUACGUUUCAAUUAAAUGUCUGAUGCAUUAAAACCAAUGCCAAAAAGCCUAUCAGUGGCAGGUUAAUCUCUCUCUUUAUAAGUCUUAUAAGUAUAACAAACCUGGUGUCGGUGGUGACAGUCCCACACUGGCGCCCCAGAAGCACUGCAUUUUAUGUCGGACAGCAAUAUUUGGUUUGACAGAGCUAAAGAGAAAAUAUGGCAGAUUCUCUGGCAGAAAAAGCUGGGAAUCGUGAAGGAAAGGUUUCUGAUUAGCUGAUUUGCUCAAAGGAAGGAUUAGUCCGAAAUGGAAAGCAAUCGAGGACAAACCUGGAGCAGUUACUCUCACUGCCAGUAGAAAGAGACAAAACAUAUCACGAACACACUAAAUUGUCUGUAACUGCAUAAGUAAAUAUAGGAGAAAUAUAGGAAAUGUUCAUGUAUUAAAUGCAGCUAUGCGGUCCAUUCUUUUUCAGACCCGGAAGAACGUACAGGGGAAGUUGCGGGUCGGCAGCAAGGAGAGACUGACUUUCUUUGGACAAGUUCAGUUGAGUCCUUCGCAUUCAAGCCAUCAAGUUGUAAAAAUCAGAGCCAACUUUACGCAUCAGCUCCAGGUAAACCAGCCUCUCUACUUAUUUGUUACACAGGUAUUCAACAUCUUCAUUGCACAAAGGGCCCAUUUGUAUGAUGUUUGCUGAAGUCAGCAGUGUUUUGAGUGGUAUAGGUUCACCUCCAACUGUGUACAGUAUAGUUUACAGUAUACGGGGGGGCCACAUUUAUGACCGUUAUAACUGCUAUUGCUGUCACAGCUGCAGCUCCCUUCCUCUGCUCUAAUGGAGGGAGAUGUGUGUUGGAACCCCAAGAACAACACUGACUUUGAUUAUGAGGCCAGAGGGAAACUGAGAGUAGAGCGGCAGGAGUGCAAAGUGAGUGAAGCUAAAUCUGCGUUUUUAAUUACUGCAUGUUUGAUCAGCAGUGUCUCUGAUGAAUUUGUGGUAUCAAGGAGUUUUUUUUCUUUUCAGCUUUCUGUACAGCUCAAUAGAACAUCAGACAGAGUCCGACUGCAUUCGUUUCUCAGUCAUCCCUUCAAAUCAAAGAUCCCCAAAACCCUCGAGGUAGGCUGCUACUGUGUUUCGUCAAGUUAUUUUAUUCAACUUUCCGAAAAACAAGUGUUGUGCCGGGAUCUGUUUUUAGGUUUUGAGGUGUCUUAUUAUUUUAUUUUUUUCGUUUUUCCAUGUUAAGGUGAAGGCCAGUGUAGAUAUAUCGAGAGUGGCAGGUAAAGGUAGUAGCUCGGUACACGUGAGGGCUGAUGGGAAGGACAGGGUGAGGCUGGAGGCCCAGAUGGCCCACUCCCUCCAAAGGGAACUCAGAGCUGUUGGACUAAGGAUGAACUUAUCGCAAAGUUUGCUGCCUACGGCCACUGACCUGCACGUAAACAUGGCUGCCAACAUGUCCUCAGACAGGUCUGUGUCUCCGCCUGUAUCUUACAUGUAACACAUGGCAAAGCAGCAAGGUCUGAUUUAUGGACUCGUGGUCUCAUUUGUGUGUUUUCUGCUUGUCUCUUGCUCUGCCAGUGUGUCUUUACAUGGCUCUUACACGCAGGGGAAUGAGCUCCUGCUCGUCCAGGUUAAAGGAUCUGUAGGAAACACCCAGGGUCGACAGCUGGCUGUGUCAGGGGACCUGAGGCACUCCAUGGCCAACCUUGUUAUUCUACCUACUGCCCUGGGGUUGGAUGGGGCACUGGGACAGUCUGACUCCCUCAUCGAAGGUAGAAAUUCUUGUGAAAGUGCUAAUAGUAAUAGAAAUAGUCAUUCAUAUUAGCAGUUCCACAUUGGGGCAGUGGGGGGGAAUUGCAGCGAGUUAGAUGAGAAAU
ensembl:lncRNA